AAUCACCAACACUACAUAAAAAGCCAGUGACUUUCAAAGCUACAGUAAGCCACCUAAAUAUAGAUGAGAAAGAACACAAGUAACAGACAAAUGGUCUUACAGGAAAGCAUUUUAAACUUGUGACAGCCACACUCGGCACAUGUGGCUAAAUAUAAACAUUCUAUCACUGUUGCCACCCAGCCAACCUUCUUAGGCAGCUUUCUCCAGCUUGCAAACGCUCCCACAGACAGGUAUUUUGAUACUGGCGCUGUUUCGGGCAAGUCUAAGAGCUAGAGGAGUGAACUACAGCUUCAAAAGUGGUCCAAGUGUCAUCGCUAUCACCUACUACAAAACCCCACCUCCCAACAACCAUCCAGGACAUCCCAAGUUUUAUAAGACAACAGCAAGAAGUCAGAGGAGGAGUGAGAAGGCCAAUAAGCUUUCCCAAGGAUAAAUGCCUCAUCCUUCUAAACACCUGCUCUGGUGGGUAACAAGCCUCGGGCAUAAAAAGCAGGCUGAUUCUUCUCUCCUAUGAACAGGAUGAAAAAGUUUCAUUUAGGCCUUUCAUUUAUGUAUGCAGAGCAUUUUUUAGCCUAUUAUUGGUCCUUAAGGUCAACUGCGGGUCAUCGGUCACAGAAAACCCAGAAUGUUCAUAUAAAAUGAUGUCAGGUUAAAGAUCUCCAUGUCCCUGUCUAAUAAAGAAAAGGUGAUUAGUCAGUGUCUGACAACCUUGAUGGGUCAGGACAUAGGCACACAGGACAAAGUCAGCCAUUCUCUAGAGGGACACCGGGAUGUCCAAGGUACUAGCUCAGAUUAAAGAAAUUCAUCUCCAAGGCUUGUGCAUCAACAGGGAAAACCAGAACAAGACUAACUCAAAUCCAGUCGUUCCCAGCAGGAACACAACUUCUGGUCGCGUGUGCCUCAGUUUCCCUGCGUGCUGGCAGCCUUUCCUAGAGGAAUGCCCGUAAACCCUAGGAGAACGGGGGCCCUCACGUUUCCGUCCCGGCCCUCCCCCGCAUUCAGAGGCGCCCCCUAAACACUUGUGGAGCGGAACCGAGGAAUGAAUGGGCCGAGCGGAGAGUCGCCAGGGGUCACCAGUCCCGAUACUCCGCCCGGCGAGCCUGGGGCUCGGCGAAGUGCCCUCCAUCUGACCGCGCCGCGCCCCCUCGG
rnacentral:lncRNA from 1 species